rnacentral:lncRNA from 1 species
AUCAAUUUAUAACUUUUGACUAAUCAUGUUUUGUAUGGACAGCAGUCAAUCUGGUCAAGAAGGUAAAUAUCUGCAUUUGGCAAAGGGAAACAGUCUAUGUUAAACAUGUGUAAUAAAAGAAUGAAAUCUGUUAUUUGCAAAAAGGCUAUUUGACAAAGUUUGAGGAAUUGUGGCACCCACCAAAGAAUUCUGACUUUGUCAUAGUUAAAUUAAAUUGUUGUUUAAUGACAGUUAUCU